CACUGGAUUAGUGGAUCAGAACGGAUCGAACCUUAGGGUUGGGUGGUUCGACCCGCCCCUCUGCCACUCGUCCGUGCGGCGGCGAGCCGGCAUCCAUGCUUCCCGUCCAUACGCCACUGGCGGCGGCGGCGGCGGUCGCUGAAACACAUCCGCUGCUCCCGCCUGCCCUCAACAGCCUGUUCCUGCCCGUGACGUCUGCUCCUUUCGCUCCUCCCGCCCACGACAUCCGCUCCUCCGGCUCGGCGCCAUCUGCAGAAGUAGCCAAGAAGAAGACCGCCGUGGACAUAGGCACACGACGACCAGCGCCAUCCGCUGCUCUCCUUCCUCCUCCUCCCAAGGCCUCUGCAGUUGCAUAUGUCUAUGGAACCACCAGCAGGCAAGACUAACGCGAAGCAGGACUGAAGCGGACAGGAGCGAUGCCCUACCUCUAGGGAUGAGACUCUACCACCUGAUAUCCAACACCCCGAUGUCACUUCAACGCCCACGUUGUCGUAGUUCCUAUCGAGUGGUUCAAAGAGAAAGAGAAUGCCUCGUCCAACUAGCUUGCCUGAAAAUGAAAGACCAGAACAAGUGUUCGCCGAUCACGAGGCUGAGGACAUGGGCGAUCAUUGUCAGAAUCAGCUUUCAGCCUUACGAGAAGACUUAUAUCAGAUUUUCGUUUACGUUUAACUCUUAAAACCGUGAAAGAGUUAAUGUGCUUACAAGAUUGGUUUCGUGCUUCUGGUUCAACAAAAUUCAGUGUGGAGUCUAUUGAUCAUUGUCUUCUCGAUGGAAUCAAUCAACAGGAGUGAAGAUGGUGAGAUUCAAUACCAUAUUUUUUCUGCUAUGUGCUUCUGGUUAAAACAUGCAUUAGGAUGAAAUGCUUGGUCAAUGCUAUGCUCUCUGUUUUAUUUUUGCCCCAAUGUUAAUCAAUUAGCUCUCAGUAUCUAGUUAGUUUAGAGGAAAGGUAGUGUUGCAAUGCCUGUAUAGGUAUCAAAUGUCAGUGUACAAUGUACUCCAUUUGCCCUUUUGUUUCUGCAUCCUGAUUCACAGAUGAAUUCAAUCUAAAAUCUAGAACAUAGAUUAAUAUUGUUUGUGAUACUGAUAGACUUGGUGGGAUCAGUCAUGCUGGCACUUAUGUCAGUACAAGAAAAA